rnacentral:rRNA from 1 species
CGCACGGGUGAGUAAUACAUCGGAACGUGUCUUCUAGUGGGGGAUAACUGCCCGAAAGGGCAGCUAAUACCGCAUGAGACCUGAGGGUGAAUGCGGGGGAUCGCAAGACCUCGCGCUGGAAGAGCGGCCGAUGUCCGAUUAGCUAGUUGGUGAGGUAAAGGCUCACCAAGGCGACGAUCGGUAGCCGGACCGAGAGGUUGAACGGCCACAUUGGGACUGAGACACGGCCCAG